rnacentral:rRNA from 1 species
GGAAUUGUUCGCAAUGGGCGCAAGCCUGACGACGCAACGCCGCGUGGAGGAUGAAGAUCUUCGGGUCGUAAACUCCUUUCGAUCGAGACGAAUGGCCUUCGGGUGAACAGCCCGGGGGAAUGACGGUACCGAGAGAAGAAGCCCCGGCUAACUCCGUGCCAGCAGCCGCGGUAAUACGGGGGGGGCAAGCGUUGUUCGGAAUUACUGGGCGUAAAGGGCUCGUAGGCGGCCAACUAAGUCAGACGUGAAAUCCCUCGGCUUAACCGGGGAACUGCGUCUGAUACUGGAUGGCUUGAGAUUGGGAGAGGGAUGCGGAAUUCCAGGUGUAGCGGUGAAAUGCGUAGAUAUCUGGAGGAACACCGGUGGCGAAGGCGGCAUCCUGGACCAACACUGACGCUGAUGAGCGAAAGCCAGGGGAGCAAA